rnacentral:lncRNA from 1 species
CCUUCUCCUCAGGCUCAGAUCCCACCACCCUUUCAUGAAACAGUUGCUUUGGCCUAUUUGAUAACCUUUCCAUUUCAUAGACUUAAUAUCACUUGUUUUAGAUGAGUACUCCGCUUUCUGUAAAAGGAAGGAUAAUUUUGGAAAUCAUUGAAGGAAUGUGCUACUUACAUGGAAAAGGCGUGAUACACAAGGACCUGAAGCCUGAAAAUAUCCUUGUUGAUAAUGACUUCCACAUUAAGGUAAACCAUCAUCGGUAGGCUUCCAGAAAGUUGGGUGAUUUUAGUUUUAAUUCUCCAAUGUAAAUCCAUUCUCGUACAUUGGAGAAGCUAAAGGAAGACCUAGCUCAGCUUAUAACUGUUGAUGAUGGUGCCGAAAGGCUCUACCGGUGAUUGAGAGGAAGGCUGCAGGCUUGAUGGGAUCAGGAGAUAACUGUCAGGAUAACUCAUAUCUUUUGGGGGAGGAGUGGAGUUGAAUGGGGUAGAUGAGAAGACCUCUUUCCUAGACUGUGUUUUUUCCUCUGUUAGAAACAUUUAGAAACAUUCAAGGGUUGCCCUUUUCAUCCUGGAAUGGGCCAUUGGUGUCAUAAUGUUCUCCAGGAAAUCUGUGUCACCAAGACUCUCCUCCUCUGGAAAUGCAGGGGAAUGUGAAGGUGUGUGCGGAAAAUCCUUAGAGUUCAGAUAUGGCCUAAGAGUGAGAUCAGCGGCCGGGUGCAGUGGCCCACGCCUGUUAUCUCAGCACUUUGGGAGGCUGAGGUGGGCGGAUCACCUGAGGUCGGGAGUUCGAGACCAGCCUGACCAACAUGGAGAAACCCCAUCUCUACUGAAAAUACAAAAUCAGCCGGGCGUGGUGGUGCAUGCCUGUAAUUCCAGCUACUCGGGAGGCUGGGGCAGGAGAAUCGCCUGAACCGGGGAGGUGGAGGUUGUGGUGAGCCGAGAUUGUGCCAUCGCACUCCAGCC